GUGGGGAAUUUUGGACAAUGGGCGCAAGCCUGAUCCAGCAAUGCCGCGUGCAGGAUGAAGGCCUUCGGGUUGUAAACUGCUUUUGUACGGAACGAAAAGCCCUGGGUUAAUACCCUGGGGUCAUGACGGUACCGUAAGAAUAAGCACCGGCUAACUACGUGCCAGCAGCCGCGGUAAUACGUAGGGUGCAAGCGUUAAUCGGAAUUACUGGGCGUAAAGCGUGCGAAGGCGGUUUUGUAAGACAGGCGUGAGAUCCCCGGGCUCAACCUGGGAAUUGCGCUUGUGACUGCAAGGCUGGAGUGCGGCAGAGGGGGAUGGAAUUCCGCGUGUAGCAGUGAAAUGCGUAGAUAUGCGGAGGAACACCGAUGGCGAAGGCAAUCCCCUGGGCCUGCACUGACGCUCAUGCACGAAAGCGUGGGGAGCAAACAGGAUUAGAUACCCUUGUAGUCC
rnacentral:rRNA from 1 species